GUAGGUGGCAAGCGUUGUCCGGAAUUAUUGGGCGUAAAGCGCGCGCAGGCGGUUCUUUAAGUCUGAUGUGAAAGCCCACGGGCUCAACCGUGGAGGGUCAUUGGAAACUGGAGAACUUGAGUACAGAAGAGGAAAGCGGAACUCCACGUGUAGCGGUGAAAUGCGUAGAGAUGUGGAGGAACACCAGUGGCGAAGGCGGCUUUCUGGUCUGUAACUGACGCUGAGGCGCGAAAGCGUGGGGAGCGAAACAGGAUUAGAUACCCUGGUAGUCCACGCCGUAAACGAUGAGUGCUAAGUGUUAGGGGGUUUCCGCCCCUUAGUGCUGCAGCUAACGCAUUAAGCACUCCGCCUGGGGAGUACGGCCGCAAGGCUG
rnacentral:rRNA from 1 species